rnacentral:lncRNA from 1 species
GAGAGACACGGAAGAGAAAAAUACUUUCUUGUCUUCGCUUGUCACGGACUUGGUUCUGCCAUCAGAGGCAGACGGAUCUAUUGAUAAAUCAGCAAUAUGGCAUCGAACUUCAUUCCCCUUUAUAUCCUGGGUGUGGUACUGAUCCUCUACAUAGUCAAAGCAGACGAGUAUAAUAAAACAGGGCUCGACGACAACGAUGGCAGUGACCCCAUCCCCACUACCACCCUUACUGCCACUCCUGCUACCCCCUCAGCCGCUCAGAACAAUCCUACAGUUACUACCUUGGUCCAGCCAGACUACCGUGACUCUAACCUUACCAACAACAUCACCGUCGGCAGUAGAGAUGGCAACCAAACCCAAGACCAGAACCAGAACCAAGACCAGAACGAAGAUGUGGGUGUUGGAACCUCGCGGGACGACGUGACAACGGUUGCCGCGGAAACCACGCCGUCGGGGGCGACCAACGGCCGAUCUGAGGAAGUGCAACUUGACGGUACCGUGUCGAAUGACGCGAUUACAACAUCAUCACCAGUGCUGAUAGAAUCUACUGGAAGAGGAAGCAGUGCUACAGCAGGCUAUGUAAUCCUGUUCCUCAUAUUGUUAGUCAUUGUCUGUCUGGUGGUGGUUCUCUAUUUCCAGAGGAAGAAGUCCAGGAAGUAUUCGUUUGACCUUGCGGGUAACGAUCACGACACCCCCCUCACCUGCGUGGAACAAGCCGGAACCUUCGAACCCAACGAGAAAGCCGGAGGUUUUGACUACGUGAUAGAGAGCGGUGGUGAUGACCACCAGGCUAUGGGCCCUGUGGCCAAUGGCUCAGCUGGGGAGGCGAGGUCCGCUGGAGAGAACGGAGAGAAGCAGGGUCAUGGUGAUAGUGAUGGAGACAGCUUCGACAACUUCUGUGGCCAUGCGAUCACGCUGACUCCGACCGUAAAGAGGGUGGGCUUUAGCCUGGACAUGAGUGACAGGCAGUCGGACAAAUCAGACAACGGGGAGCAGAAUGGGAACAACAACAACGUUGCCGUGGGGAUGACCCCUGAGCCGCCGGGCCUGACCUUUGACCCUGUAGGUCCAGGUGACGUCUUCACUGAAAUCAGCCUGGAUAUAUAGAAGACGCACACACAUUGUUGUAAAAUUGUAAUGUUCUGUUGUGGUUGAUUUAUAGAUGAAUGUAAAAAGCUUCAAAUAACUUUUACAUCCCUAUUUUUUAUGCUGUAAAUUUUUGAUACCGUAAAUUUUUGAUACUGUAAGUUUUUGAUACCGUAAAUUUUUGAUACCGUAAAUUUUUGAUACUGUAAGUUUUUGAUACCGUAAAUUUUUGAUACCGUAAAUUUUUGAUACUGUAAGUUUUUGAUACCGUAAAUUUUUGAUACCGUAAGUUUUUGAUUCCGUAAAUUUUUUUCGUAUUUCAAGAUAAAAAACGAAUGUUUAUAGUUUUUUUGUUAUUCAUUUUAAUAAUGUCUUACGCAUUGAUAAUAAUCGCAGGAGACGCCAAGUCACACGGCGAUUGUUUUUAGAAUAAAACAUACUUCACAGAAUUCUAGGUGUUGUGUCUUGAUGUGAUGUGUUUGGGAAAUGUGUGGUAAAGUGAUGUGUGGAGGGGUAAUGUGUGGAGAGGUAAUCUGUGGAGAGGUAAUCUGUGGAGAGGUGAUCUGUGGAGAGGUGAUGUGUGGAGAGGUAAUGUGUGGAGAGGUGAUGUGUGGAGGGGUAAUGUGUGGAGAGGUGAUGUGUGGAGGGGUAAUGUGUGUUAAAUAAUCUGUGGAGAGGUAAUGUGUGGAGAGGUAAUCUGUUGAAAGAUAAUGUGUGGAGAAGUAAUCUGUCGCAAGACAAUGUGUGGAGAGGUAAUGUGUGGAGAGGCAAUCUGUUGAGAGAUAAUGUGUGGAGAGGUAAUGUAUGGAGAGAUAAUGUGGCAAGAUAAUGCGAGGAGAGGUAUUUGUUCAGAGGGGGUUUUACUCAGUUUGGCGGGAAUUACUUUGGAGUGCCUUCCGCCCCCCUCGGUAAAUGUUUGUAGAGAGAGGGAGGGGGUGCAUGGAGAGAGGAUUGGAGGGAGAGACAA